GACGCAGCAACGCCGCGUGCGGGAUGAAGGCCCUCGGGUUGUAAACCGCUUUCAGCAGGAACGAAAAUGACGGUACCUGCAGAAGAAGGUCCGGCCAACUACGUGCCAGCAGCCGCGGUAACACGUAGGGACCAAGCGUUGUCCGGAUUUAUUGGGCGUAAAGCGCUCGUAGGCGGUUCGGUAAGUCGGGUGUGAAACCCCUGGGCUCAACCCGGGGACGCCACCCGAUACUGCUGUGACUCGAGUUCGGUAGGGGAGCGGGGAAUUCCUGGUGUAGCGGUGAAAUGCGCAGAUAUCAGGAGGAACACCGGUGGCGAAGGCGCCGCUCUGGGCCGAUACUGACGCUGAGGAGCGAAAGCGUGGGGAGCAAACAGGAUUAGAUACCCUGGUAGUCCACGCCGUAAACGUUGGGCACUAGGUGUGGGUCCUUAUCAACGGGAUCCGUGCCGUCGCUAACGCAUUAAGUGCCCCGCCUGGGGAGUACGGCCGCAAGGCUAAAACUCAAAGGAAUUGACG
rnacentral:rRNA from 1 species